AGUCACAUCAGUGGGUAAGGAAGUAUGGGAUAAAAUCGGGUGUAUCCUGCGUUUCCUCUAAUGGUAUUCUCUAACACUAGAAAUUCCACAUAACUGAUAUUUCUAACAGAGGCCUUGAAGGAAGACAAGAUCCCAACGACAAAAAUAGUAAUACUUCCGGGGCCCCUGGGUGGCUCAGUCGGUUAGGCAUCCAACUCUUAAUUUUAGCUCAGGUCAUGAUCUUGCGUUUUGUGAGACGGAGCUUGGGCUCUGCCCUAACAGCACGGAGCCUGCUUGGGAUUCUUGCUCUCCCUCUCUCUCUCUCUCUCUGCCCCCCCUCCUUGCACCCUCUUUCUCAACUAACAUUUCAUUAAAAAUAAAAAAAAAAAAUGAAGAUGAACUCUGUAGAAAGAUUCCUGAUGGAUUUAUUUCAUUUUACCCUGCUUGUUCGAAAAACUAGCAAUCAGGAGUUGGAGGACGUGAGGCACGGCUCUCUGGUAGUUAAGUGUGUGAUCCUGGGAAGGUCUCUGUACCUCAGUCUUCUCAUCUGCAAAAUGCAGGGCUUGGAUUAAAGAAGCUUACAGCUCUAACAUUCUGAGAUCCUGUAUUAACCACAGCAUAUGACUGAUCAGAGCAAUCUACUGAUCAAGUAUCAAUUAAGUAUUUAAUGUACAUCGAGGAGCCAAGAGACAAUUAGAAACACAUAAUGCAAAUUUGGUUCAUGAAGCGUUGAUAAAGAAGAAGACGUGAAAAACAGCCAAGAGGAAACAACUAAAAAUCAGCAAAAAGCUGACUUUAAGGACUUUAAGUAACGGACUUUAAGGAUUACACAGGCAUGUAGUUAAAGUGCAAAUGAGAGCAAAUGUUUGUUCUAUCCAUGCUUCGUGCUGUGAGGAGGAAAUGUGAAAAAUAAAAAUGACUCUUCUUGGCUACCUCUUCUUCAGUGCUCUUAAUUAUGAGAGUCUGUGCAUGUGUGACUUUCCAACCAUUUCACGGGCAUGAGUUUCUAAAAUAAUAAAUGGAAUUUCUUAA